rnacentral:rRNA from 1 species
CUGAGCCAGGAUCAAAUUCAGGAAAAGCCACUAAGCUUCAGCUGCACACGACCGUACCGCAAACCGACACUGGUGCGCGAGAUGAGUAUUCUAAGGCGCUUGAGAGAACUCGGGAGAAGGAACUCGGCAAAUUGACACCGUAACUUCGGAAGAAGGUGUGCCCUAUUAGUGUGAAGCGAACAGCGGAGCAUGAACGGGUUGCAAAGAAUCGGUGGCUGCGACUGUUUAUUAAAAACACAGCACUCUGCAAACACGAAAGUGGACGUAUAGGGUGUGACGCCUGCCCGGUGCUGGAAGACUAAAUGAUGGGGUGCAAGCUCUUGAUUGAAGUCCCAGUAAACGGUGGCCGUAACAAUAACGGUCCUAAGGUAGCGAAAUUCCUUGUCGGGUAAGUUCCGACCUGCACGAAUGGCGUAACGAUGGCCACACUGUCUCCUCCCGAGACUCAGCGAAGUUGAAAUGUUUGUGAUGAUGCAAUCUCCCCGCGGAAAGACGGAAAGACCCCAUGAACCUUUACUGUAGCUUUGUAUUGGACUUUGAACAGAUCUGUGUAGGAUAGGUGGGAGGCUUUGAAGCAGGGUCGCUAGAUCUUGUGGAGCCAACGUUGAAAUACCACCCUGGUGUGUUUGAGGUUCUAACCUAGGUCCAUUAUCUGGAUCGGGGACCGUGCAUGGUAGGCAGUUUGACUGGGGCGGUCUCCUCCCAAAGCGUAACGGAGGAGUUCGAAGGUACGCUAGUUACGGUCGGACAUCGUGACGAUAGUGCAAUGGCAUAAGCGUGCUUAACUGCGAGACUGACAAGUCAAGCAGAUGCGAAAGCAGGACAUAGUGAUCCGGUGGUUCUGUAUGGAAGGGCCAUCGCUCAACGGAUAAAAGGUACUCUGGGGAUAACAGGCUGAUACCGCCCAAGAGUUCAUAUCGACGGCGGUGUUUGGCACCUCGAUGUCGGCUCAUCUCAUCCUGGGGCUGUAGCCGGUCCCAAGGGUAUGGCUGUUCGCCAUUUAAAGAGGUACGUGAGCUGGGUUUAAAACGUCGUGAGACAGUUUGGUCCCUAUCUUCCGUGGGCGCUGCAGAUUUGAGGAAGCCUGCUCCUAGUACGAGAGGACCGGAGUGGACACACCUCUGGUGUAUCGGUUGUCACGCCAGUGGCAUUGCCGAGUAGCUAUGUGUGGAAGAGAUAAACGCUGAAAGCAUCUAAGCGUGAAACUCGUUUCAAGAUGAGAUCUGCCGGGGCCUUGAGCCCCCUGAAGAGUCGUUCGAGACCAGGACGUUGAUAGGCAGGGUGUGGAAGCGCAGUAAUGCGUUAAGCUAACCUGUACUAAUUGCUCGUGUGGCUUGACC